rnacentral:rRNA from 1 species
AAUCAACGCUGGCGGCGUGCCUAACACAUGCAAGUCGAGCGCGAAAAGGGGGCAACCCCUUAGUAGAGCGGCGAACGGGUGAGUAACGCGUGGGUAAUCUACCCUCGAGUGGGGAAUAACACCGGGAAACUGGUGCUAAUACCGCAUGACAUCCUCGGAUCUUCGGGUCUGGGGAUCAAAGCCGGGGACCGCAAGGCCUGGCGCUUGGGGAGGAGCCCGCGUCCGAUUAGCUUGUUGGCGGGGUAAUGGCCCACCAAGGCUUCGAUCGGUAGCCGGCCUGAGAGGGCGGACGGCCACACUGGGACUGAGACACGGCCCAGACUCCUACGGGAGGCAGCAGUGGGGAAUUUUUCGCAAUGGGGGAAACCCUGACGGAGCAACGCCGCGUGGAGGAUGAAGGCCCUCGGGUCGUAAACUCCUGUCGAUCGGGACGAAAGUAGUCCAACCUAAUACGUUGUGGCGUUGACUGUACCGGUGGAGGAAGCUCCGGCUAACUCUGUGCCAGCAGCCGCGGUAAUACAGAGGGAGCAAGCGUUGUUCGGAAUUACUGGGCGUAAAGGGCGCGUAGGCGGUCCACCAAGUCUUGUGUGAAAUCCCCUGGCUCAACUAGGGAACUGCAUGGGAAACUGGUGGACUUGAGUUCGGGAGAGGGAAGCGGAAUUCCGGGUGUAGCGGUGAAAUGCGUAGAUAUCCGGAGGAACACCGGUGGCGAAGGCGGCUUCCUGGACCGACACUGACGCUGAGGCGCGAAAGCUAGGGUAGCAAACGGGAUUAGAUACCCCGGUAGUCCUAGCUGUAAACGAUGUCAACUAGUUGUUGGGGAUUCACUUCUUUAGUAACGUAGCUAACGCGUGAAGUUGACCGCCUGGGGAGUACGGCCGCAAGGUUAAAACUCAAAGGAAUUGACGGGGACCCGCACAAGCGGUGGAUGAUGUGGAUUAAUUCGAUGCAACGCGAAAAACCUUACCUACCCUUGACAUGCCAGGAACUUGCCAGAGAUGGCUUGGUGCCCGAAAGGGAGCCUGGACACAGGUGCUGCAUGGCUGUCGUCAGCUCGUGUCGUGAGAUGUUGGGUUAAGUCCCGCAACGAGCGCAACCCUUGUCAUUAGUUGCUACAUUUAGUUGAGCACUCUAAUGAGACUGCCGGUGACAAGCCGGAGGAAGGUGGGGAUGACGUCAAGUCCUCAUGGCCCUUAUAGGUGGGGCUACACACGUCAUACAAUGGCUGGUACAGAGGGUUGCCAACCCGCGAGGGGGAGCUAAUCCCAUAAAACCAGUCGUAGUCCGGAUCGCAGUCUGCAACUCGACUGCGUGAAGUCGGAAUCGCUAGUAAUCGCGGAUCAGAAUGUCACGGUGAAUACGUUCCCGGGUCU